UAGCUCAGUCGAUAGAGCAUGAGACUCUUAAUCUCAGCGUCGUGGGUUAGAGCCCUAC
rfam:Danio rerio chromosome 4, GRCz11 reference primary assembly.